UAUUGCUCUUCAACGAGGAAUCCCUAGUAAGCACAAGUCAUCAGCUUGUGCUGAUUACGUCCCUGCCCUUUGUACACACCGCCCGUCGCUACUACCGAUUGAAUGGCUUAGUGAGGCCCUCGGAUCGAUUUUCUGAGACUGGCAACAGUCUUUGAUUGUUGAGAAGUUGGUCAAACUUGGUCAUUUAGAGGAAGUAAAAGUCGUAACAAGGUUUCCGUAGGUGAACCUGCGGAAGGAUCAUUAAUAAUUUGCCGAACCUAGCGUUAGCGAGGUUCUGCGAUCACUUUAUAUUUAAAACCCAACUCUUAAAUGUAUAAUUAUGUAUUUUUUUAAUAAAAAAAAUUAAAGAUCACUUUCAACAACGGAUCUCUUGGCUCUCGCAUCGAUGAAGAACGUAGCGAAGUGCGAUAAGUAAUGUGAAUUGCAGAAUUCCGUGAAUCAUCGAAUCUUUGAACGCAUAUUGCACUUUCUGGUAUUCCGGAAAGUAUGCCUGUUUGAGGGUCAGUUAAAUAAAAAUCGGUGUUGCUGCUACCCGUAGUGGUGUUAAUGCAUCGGAAUUGAGUUGUCUUUACCUUUUUUGGUUAAGUGACUUAAAAUUAUGUACGAUUUUUUGAACGUAUUUAAAUUAUUUACGUAUGUUCAUAAUAUCAAAUAUUAGGUGCGGUCAUCCUAUGAUUCACAUCUAUAAUUUUUCAUUAUUUGACCUCAAAUCAGGUAAGAGUACCCGCUGAACUUAAGCAUAUCAAUAAGCGGAGGAAAAGAAAAUAACAAUGAUUCCCUUAGUAACGGCGAGUGAAGGGGGAUAAGCUCAAAUUUUAAAUCUGCUAGGUUUUACUUAUCAGAGUUGUAAUUUGAAGAAGCGUUUUCCGCGUCUUGGUUGACCCAAAAUCCUUUGGAAUGAGGUAUCAUGGAGGGUGACAAUCCCGUUCAUGGUUAAUUCUAAGAUGCUUUAUGAUGCGUUUUCGAAGAGUCGAGUUGUUUGGGAUUGCAGCUCAAAAUGGGAGGUAAAUUUCUCCUAAGGCUAAAUAUUGGCGAGAGACCGAUAGCGAACAAGUACCGUGAGGGAAAGAUGAAAAGAACUUUGAAAAGAGAGUUAAACAGUACGUGAAAUUGUUGAAAGGGAAACGAUUGAAGUCAGUCGUACCAGCGGGAAAUCAACCUUUCGAGUGGGGUUUUGGAGUUUUGAAGAGUGUCAAAGCCUUUGAGAUUUCAACAUGUUCGCUCUUUUGGUGUACUUUCUCGUAGGUAGGUUAACAUCGAUUUUGAUCAUCAUAAAAGGAUUGGAGGAAUGUAGCUUCGAUCUCGUAUUGAAGUGUUAUAGCCUUUGGUAAAUGUGAUGAUUAGGAUCGAGGAUUGCAACGAAUACCCUUUUGGGCUAUCCGCCUGAUCUCUGAUACGUGGCCUUGGUAUCGAAAGCGUGCUUAUGGUAUUAAGGUAUUACGGUCAAAAGGUUAGAACGGAUUACAUUCGUUAAGGAUGUUGACGUAAUGGCUUUAAACGGCCCGUCUUGAAACACGGACCAAGGAGUCUAACAUAUAUGCGAGUGUUC
rnacentral:rRNA from 1 species